AUUUCAAGUGUAUGUGACCAACACAUCAUUUAUUCCAUCUAAUGGUUAUCUCUGUUAUAAAGACCCUUAUCCGUCUCCUCUUCCAAGCAUCACACAGACUAUUUCUUGUUAUCAACUUGGAAAAUAUGUCAUUUAUUACGAUGAUAAAGGAACUGAUGAAGGAAAUAACGUAUUCCCGCCUAUUGUUGAACUAUGCUACGUUGCUAUCAAUGGAUGCUUUCAAGGUACAUGGGGAACAAACUGUUCAGAUGCAUGUCCACCUAAAUGUAUAGACCAACACUGUUAUCCUGGAAACGGUUCCUGUGUUUGGGGUUGUGAUCCUCAGAACUGUUUAAAAAACAAAUGUGAUAUACAUACAGGUGCCUGUAUCAAAGGAUGUGUAACUGGAUUGACCGGACAGUUCUGUGACAGAGGAGGCAAGAUGUAGAUGAAUAAGUGGGUGAUGAAAAAAAGUCGAAGAGGAAACAAUACACAUGGAAACAGUUAUCUUGACGUAAAUAGCUGAUAUAAUGAACUCGGACAAGGAUCAUCAAAAAUCCAUAUUACCAGCUUCAACAAAGCAGUACUGAAAAUCAAGGAAAGGGCAUGGUCUAUAACCAAAACAAAAUACAGACUGCAAAUUUCAAAACAAUACACAUUGGAAUUAUUACCGAUGCAUCAAAAAAUCGGUCCUAUACGAUCACCAAACGGUCCAUAUAACCAGCUUCGAAAGGUAGUUACUGAAAAAAAUUAAAUGAUAAAUGAAAUGAAAAAUCUUGACAACCGUACAACAUGUACAAGAGAUUAUAAUUUUCACGUAUUAGAAGGAAUCAAUAAAUGCGACAGUAAAACUUGUUCCUUACUUACAGUAUGUGCAUACCAAUUCAAGUUAUAUUGACUUAUUGGUAUAUGUAUAAAUAACAAUGUAUCUACUGUGGUGUACCAAACAUUAACCUAUCAUACAAUUAUAACAAUUGAAAUAUUAUUAAAAUUGUUUAAAUAAAUUAAGCA